UAGAUUUCGGAAUUACUAAUAAUAAAAUACUCCGUUGUUUUAGUCCGCAAGCAAACUAUACCGACCCAGAGAAGUUACCAAUACCAUGAAUAAGGCAUGAAUUCAGUCACACGUUUGGUUUCUGUAAUGGACGAAGCCGACCGAUAAAAACUGGUAAUGUCUCAGCCCACGAGGCUGUGGUUUUUUCAUACAGCAAGCUGUAUGAAAAAUCCUAGUUUUCGGGAUCCCCCACCCGUUCAUCAUAGAGCCCGUAUAGUGGAAGAAGUAAAGCCAGUGAUCCCAGUUAUUUAAGUACUUGUGGCGGCGUGACCUUCAGUUGAGGCUGACAGCUAUUCAGAGAUAGUUUUUACUUAAAGGUGUUCAGUUGUGUGUAAUAUCUGGAUAUAUAACAUAUAAAGAAUUUGUACUCUAUGGUGGCCGGUGUUUUCAUUAAAUAAAUUAAGCUCACAUCAGUUUGGCUCACCUUUCAGAGAUAACAACAUCUGCACAAGACAACAGAGGAAUCAUAACCUAGCAUUUCCAACCAACGUCCAACAACGAACACUUGGACGCAUAAACUUCGGAAUUUUAUUUAUUGAGGGAGGCGCAGCAGAAUUUUUCGAAGUAUCUGAUGAUGAUGUUGACGACUAUAUCGGUCGAAACACGUAAUGCACCAGUGAUAUGAAAAAUAAUUUAUAAAUCAAAAACACAAUGAAUGUCAAAUAGAUUCGAAAUGAAAUUACAAGUUCUCCAUUGAGAGGGUUAAAGUAGGACUGAUGUGUUGUGGUUCAGUAGCAUUCGUCACAACACCACGCUCUACAUAAAUCCUGUAAUAUUUAUUCCAUUGAAGAGCUGAGACUGCUGAGAUACGUAUGAUCAGCAGUAUUCAACUGCCAGGGCUGAGGAAGGCAGUGAGAAUUUCCCUGAUUAAGCCAGCCUUUAUGCUUGGAUUGAAAGCUAAAGCUGUACCGAAUGUGACUUCCAGCCAGCAUUAGAAAUGGGAAACACAAGGUCAGAGGGAGCAAAGGUUGAUCUAAGGUUCACUCUUGACAGGAUGACUCUGAAGCUUGUUCUCAUAGUUCUCUUCUUGGUGGUUACUUUUUUCUGAUUGUCCUUCUGUUUGACUUUGGAAUUUCUCCAGAACACCAGAUCUGCUAGUGGACUACUGGAAACACAUCUCAAAAGGCUUCCUAGGUUCCCAGGGAACCUUGGUUGAGAAAGGCUUUCCUUGACUAAUAACAAAUUGCUGGCUGCUUUAACAGAGGAUUGUUACUAGAAUCAAAGCAAGUUCUGGAGAGGCGGCUGUGAAGAGAUUGUUAUAUCAGGACUGAUGUCAGAGUGAGCCAUGAAGGUGCAACAGUGGAAUCCCCCCCAACUUUUCUGUACUUCCUGUGAAGAUGUACAGUGUGGAUGGAUGUUGAGGUCUCUUCUCUCUGCACAUGGAGCAAAUCCAGAGAUGAUAACAGUCUUCAUUGAUGCCUCCUUUGAGGAACCUCUUGAGGUGACAAAAUUCUUUGGACUGCAAGGAAUUCAGCACACACCAAUUGGAGUUCAGAGCGCCAGAAUAUCUCAGUACUACAAGGCUUCUCUGACAGCAACAUUCAACAUAUUCCUCAAUGCCAAAUAGGUAAUUAUUGUGGAAGAAGAUCUGAAUGUGUCUCCAGACUUCUUCAGGUGGUUCAUGACAAGGUCCAGCUGCAAAAUCUUACAAGUACUGUAAUGAAUACAGAGGUUAGAGAAGUUGAACUCAUUUCAUGCCCAGAUGAUAAGACUGUCAGCUUUUCAAGCACUUUGCUCCAUCAAGUCACUUCAUUUUAAACCAAGGAAUGGAAUGUUUGCCAAAUAUGUAAGCAGAUUAAUAUGAAUAUUGGUACAGUGUGUACAUUGCAGUUACUUCAGCCAGACUAAGAGACUGUUGGAGGAGGACAAGACACUUUACUGCAUCUCCGCCUGGAAUGACCAGGGUUAUGAGCACACCAGCAGUGAUCCAAGUUUAUUAUACAGAGUGGAAAACAUGCCAGGGCUCAGAUGGAUCCUUAAAAGAUCUCUAUAGAGACAAGCUGGAAUCCAAAUGGUCAACACCUGAGAAGAUGUGGGACUGGGAUAUGUGGAUGCGGCUACCUGAGGUUCGGAAAGGCAGAGAGUGUGUGAUUCCAGACGUCCCUCGGACGUACCAUUUCGGUGCUUCGGGUCUGAACAUUAAUUCCUACUUCCAAGACGUCUACUUCAAGAAACAUUCUUUCAAUACCUUGCCAGAUGUGAAGCUUAAACAUGUUGACAGUGCUUCAGGAUCUGGGACCUUGAUGUUCGGGGUUAUCACAAGAGUAGUGAAGGGCAGUGAAAUGCUUAUCAUAGGAGUGCUGUACUCAGAGUAUUCAUAAAAAAUUUAAACCAUCGAAUGUCACUCCAAUUUAUUUGGAACCUCAUCAAGAGAAGACUAAUAUCAGAUAGCAGGAGGUAACAGCGUUUAGAAGAUUCAUGGAUCCUGCAUUGUCGUGAAGAUCAUCCAUCUGUGACACAGAGAUCUUAAUUUCAAGAUAGGGCAUUAUUUUACGGCUGUACCAUCUUGCCUGUGCCAAUUUGUUAUGAGGAACUGUAGAGAACUGUUCUUCUUAAGAUGCCAGAACUGUGUGCUGAUUUCUGCCUCUCCGUGAUAUGUGACAGUAAAAGGGGAGUGUACAUUGUGAAUAUGUACCAGAAUGAAAAUAUUACUGUAGGUCCAUAGAAGGAAGCAGGUAUGCCAUCUGAGUUGCAGUUACAAAUUUACAAAACAGUAAAUUGCUAUUUAUCUGGUGUCCAUGCAUCCAGGAUUUUCAUUCAGCUGGCAAAAAAUUCUAAGAAAAUUAUAAAGUAAUUAAAAAAUUAUGAGUAUUUUCACUCACUAUACAAUAGUCCUCCCAGCUUCCACUAGCAGCACUACCCAUUAUGCAGAUGCCAUUUCAGCAGAGACUAGUUGAAUUUGUGAUCUUGUGAAUUUAAAAUCUUUCAUUUGUCAAUCUGCAGUAUUGUAUGGGAAUAGUCCAUGCAAGAACUAAAGAAAGGACAUGAUAUUUUGAUUAUAAAUUGGGUUUCUGCAAGAACUUUUCUCGUGGAAACAGCAGAAUAAUGUAACUGGCAGACCCCAUUCUCUAUACAUGCCAAGUAAAUGUGGUU